UACGGAGGGUCCAAGCGUUAAUCGGAAUUACUGGGCGUAAAGCGCGCGUAGGCGGCUUGUUAAGUCGGAUGUGAAAGCCCUGGGCUCAACCUGGGAACUGCAUUCGAUACUGGCAAGCUAGAGUAUGAUAGAGGGUGGUAGAAUUUCUAGUGUAGCGGUGAAAUGCGUAGAUAUUAGAAGGAAUACCGGUGGCGAAGGCGACCACCUG
rnacentral:rRNA from 1 species